rnacentral:rRNA from 1 species
CAUGUGGCUUAAUUUGACUCAACGCGGGAAAUCUUACCGGGUCCGGACACACUGAGGAUUGACAGGCAAUAUAUGUGACUCUUCGGAGUUUGCAUUGUUAAAUAUGCUAGUCCUUUCAUGAUUAUGUGAUAGGUGGUGCAUGGCCGUUCUUAGUUCGUGGAGUGAUCUGUCUGCUUAAUUGCGUUUCAAAUUACUUAUAAGGUAGCAAUACGCGAUGAANCUUUCAAUAGUCCUCACGGAUUCACUUGAGUCUCUCGCUUCGCUAUCCUUUCGAAUGCAACGAACGUGACCGCAACCUCUUGUUGCCUUCGUUUAACAUCCUGCAGCUCGCUGUGGGUACUGAGGGCUUCACUCGGUGACUUUGGGCUGAGCAAUCGGUCUU